GAUGAACGCUGGCGGCGUGCUUAACACAUGCAAGUCGAACGAAGAUGCCGGAGUGCUUGCACUUUGGCAGACUGAGUGGCGGACGGGUGAGUAACGCGUGGGUAACCUGCCUUAUACAGGGGGAUAACAGUUGGAAACGACUGCUAAUACCGCAUAAGCGCACGGUAUCGCAUGAUACAGUGUGAAAAACUCCGGUGGUAUGAGAUGGACCCGCGUCUGAUUAGCUGGUUGGUGAGGUAACGGCCCACCAAGGCGACGAUCAGUAGCCGACCUGAGAGGGUGACCGGCCACAUUGGGACUGAGACACGGCCCAGACUCCUACGGGAGCAGCAGUGGGGAAUCUUCCGCAAUGGGCGAAAGCCUGACGGAGCAACGCCGCGUGAGUGAUGACGGCCUCGGU
rnacentral:rRNA from 1 species